GAUUAAGCCAUGCAUGUCUAAGUAUAAGCAAUUAUACCGUGAAACUGCGAAUGGCUCAUUAAAUCAGUUAUCGUUUAUUUGAUAGUACCUUACUACUUGGAUAACCGUGGUAAUUCUAGAGCUAAUACAUGCUAAAAACCCCGACUUCGGGAGGGGUGUAUUUAUUAGAUAAAAAACCAAUGCCCUUCGGGGCUCUUUGGUGAUUCAUAAUAACUUAACGGAUCGCAUGGCCUUGCGCCGGCGACGGUUCAUUCAAAUUUCUGCCCUAUCAACUUUCGAUGGUAAGGUAUUGGCUUACCAUGGUUUCAACGGGUAACGGGGAAUUAGGGUUCGAUUCCGGAGAGGGAGCCUGAGAAACGGCUACCACAUCCAAGGAAGGCAGCAGGCGCGCAAAUUACCCAAUCCCGACACGGGGAGGUAGUGACAAUAAAUACUGAUACAGGGCUCUUUUGGGUCUUGUAAUUGGAAUGAGUACAAUUUAAACCCCUUAACGAGGAACAAUUGGAGGGCAAGUCUGGUGCCAGCAGCCGCGGUAAUUCCAGCUCCAAUAGCGUAUAUUAAAGUUGUUGCAGUUAAAAAGCUCGUAGUUGAAACUUGGGCCUGGCUGGCCGGUCCGCCUCACCGCGUGUACUGGUCCGGCCGGGCCUUUCCUUCUGGAGAGCCUCAUGCCCUUCACUGGGUGUGUUGGGGAACCAGGACUUUUACUUUGAAAAAAUUAGAGUGUUCAAAGCAGGCCUUUGCUCGAAUACGUUAGCAUGGAAUAAUAGAAUAGGACGUGCGAUCCUAUUUUGUUGGUUUCUAGGACCGCCGUAAUGAUUAAUAGGGAUAGUCGGGGGCAUCAGUAUUCAAUUGUCAGAGGUGAAAUUCUUGGAUUUAUUGAAGACUAACUACUGCGAAAGCAUUUGCCAAGGAUGUUUUCAUUAAUCAGUGAACGAAAGUUAGGGGAUCGAAGACGAUCAGAUACCGUCGUAGUCUUAACCGUAAACUAUGCCGACUAGGGAUCGGGCGAUGUUAUUAUUUUGACUCGCUCGGCACCUUACGAGAAAUCAAAGUUUUGGGUUCUGGGGGGAGUAUGGUCGCAAGGCUGAAACUU
rnacentral:rRNA from 1 species